CAGUCGCCGCGGGAAUACGGAGGGUGCAAGCGUUAAUCGGAAUUACUGGGCGUAAAGCGCACGCAGGCGGUCUGACAAGUCAGAUGUGAAAUCCCGGGCUUAACCUGGGAACUGCAUUUGAAACUGUCAGGCUGGAGUCUUGUAGAGGGGGGUGGAAUUCCAGGUGUAGCGGUGAAAUGCGUAGAGAUCUGGAGGAAUACCGGUGGCGAAGGCGGCCCCCUGGACAAAGACUGACGCUCAGGUGCGAAAGCGUGGGGAGCAAACAGGAUUAGAUACCCCGGUAGUCCCUGUCUCUUAUACA
rnacentral:rRNA from 1 species